AUUGAACGCUGGCGGCAGGCCUAACACAUGCAAGUCGAGCGCGCGGCGCACGGGUGAGUAAUGUGUGUGAAACAGUCCGUGGGGGGGGGAUAACUAUUGGAAACGGUAUCUAAUAUCGCAUAUCAUCAGAUGUGUCCAGAGGGGAUUAGCUAGUAGGUGGGGUAACGGCUCACCUAGGCGACGAUCCCUAGCUGGUCUGAGAGGAUGACCAGCCACACUGGAACUGAGACACGGUCCAGACUCCUACGGGAGGCAGCAGUGGGGAAUAUUGCACAAUGGGCGCAAGCCUGAUGCAGCCAUGCCGCGUGUAUGAAGAAGGCCUUCGGGUUGUAAAGCACUUUCAGCGGGGAGGCGUUACCCGCAGAAGAAGCACCGGCUAACUCCGUGCCAGCCGCCGCGGUAAUUC
rnacentral:rRNA from 1 species